CUACGGAAGGCAGCAGUGGGGAAUGUUGGACAAUGGGCGCAAGCCUGAUCCAGCCACGCCGCGUGAGUGAUGAAGGCCUUCGGGUUGUAAAGCUCUGUGGGGAGAGGCGAAAACAGUCAUCAAGAAACGGAUGAUUCUUGACGGUAUCUCCUUAGCAAGCACCGGCUAACUCUGUACCAGCAGCCGCGGUAAUACAGAGGGUGCGAACGUUGCUCGGAAUUACUGGGCGUAAAGCGCGUGUAGGCGGACCGGUAAGUCAGAUGUGAAAUCCCUGGGCUCAACCCAGGAACUGCAUUUGAAACUGCUGGUCUAGAGUAUCGGAGAGGGUGGCGGAAUUCCUGGUGUAGAGGUGAAAUUCGUAGAUAUCAGGAGGAACACCGGUGGCGAAGGCGGCCACCUGGACGGUCACUGACGCUGAGACGCGAAAGCGUGGGGAGCAAACAGGAUUAGAUACCCUAGUAGUCCG
rnacentral:rRNA from 1 species